GACGUAGGUGGCGAACGUUCUCCGGAAUUAUUGGGCGUAAAGGGUGCGCAGAUGGUCUGACAAGUUAGCAGUGGCAAAUCGAGGCUCAACCUCGUGGAAACUGGUAAUACUGUCUGACUCGAGUACAGGAGAGGUUAACGGAACUCCAUGUGGAGCGGUAAAAUGUGUAGAUAUAUGGAAGAACACCAAUACCGGCGAAGGCAGUUAACUAUUCUGUUACUGACAUUGAGGCACGAAAGCGUGGGGAGCAAAACGG
rnacentral:rRNA from 1 species